CGGCGACCGGCGCACGGGUGCGGAACGCGUAUGGAACCUGCCCCUGUCAGGGGAAUAGCCCCAGGGAAACUUGGAUUAAUGCCCCCAUGGUACCGUUAUAUCGCAUGAUAUUACGGUUAAAGAUUUAUCGGACAGGGAUGGCCAUGCGUACCAUUAGUUAGUUGGUGAGGUAACGGCUCACCAAGGCAGCGAUGGUUAGGGGCCCUGAGAGGGGGAUCCCCCACACUGGUACUGAGACACGGACCAGACUCCUACGGGAGGCAGCAGUGAGGAAUAUUGGACAAUGGGCGGGAGCCUGAUCCAGCCAUGCCGCGUGCAGGAUGACGGCCCUAUGGGUUGUAAACUGCUUUUAUACGGGAAGAAACGCGCCCACGUGUGGGCGUUUGACGGUACCGUAAGAAUAAGGACCGGCUAACUCCGUGCCAGCAGCCGCGGUAAUACGGAGGGUCCGAGCGUUAUCCGGAAUCAUUGGGUUUAAAGGGUCCGUAGGCGGGCCUGUAAGUCAGGGGUGAAAGUUUGUGGCUCAACCAUAAAAUUGCCUUUGAUACUGCAGGUCUUGAGUCAUGGUGGGGUUGCCGGAACAUGUGGUGUAGCGGUGAAAUGCAUAGAUAUCACAUAGAACACCGAUCGCGAAGGCAGGUGACCAACCAUGUACUGACGCUGAUGGACGAAAGCGUGGGUAGCGAACGGGAUUAGAUACCCCGGUAGUCCACGCCGUAAACGAUGGAUACUAGCUGUGGGGAUUUCGGUCUCCGUGGCCAAGCGAAAGUGAUAAGUAUCCCACCUGGGGAGUACGUUCGCAAGAAUGAAACUCAAAGGAAUUGACGGGGGCCCGCACAAGCGGUGGAGCAUGUGGUUUAAUUCGAUGAUACGCGAGGAACCUUACCAGGGCUUAAAUGCAGGCUGCAUGGGGUAGAGAUACCCCUUUCUUCGGACCGCCUGCAAGGUGCUGCAUGGUUGUCGUCAGCUCGUGCCGUGAGGUGUCAGGUUAAGUCCUAUAACGAGCGCAACCCCUACCGUUAGUUGCCAGCAUGUCAAGAUGGGGACUCUAACGGGACUGCCGGUGCAAACCGUGAGGAAGGUGGGGACGACGUCAAAUCAUCACGGCCCUUACGUCCUGGGCUACACACGUGCUACAAUGGCCGGUACAGAGGGAAGCCACCCCGCAAGGGGGCGCGGAUCUACAAAACCGGUCACAGUUCGGAUCGGGGUCUGCAACUCGACCCCGUGAAGCUGGAAUCGCUAGUAAU
rnacentral:rRNA from 1 species